CAGCAGCCGCGGUAAUACAGAGGGUGCGAGCGUUAAUCGGAUUUACUGGGCGUAAAGCGUGCGUAGGCGGCUUCUUAAGUCGGAUGUGAAAUCCCUGAGCUUAACUUAGGAAUUGCAUUCGAUACUGGGAAGCUAGAGUAUGGGAGAGGAUGGUAGAAUUCCAGGUGUAGCGGUGAAAUGCGUAGAGAUCUGGAGGAAUACCGAUGGCGAAGGCAGCCAUCUGGCCUAAUACUGACGCUGAGGUACGAAAGCAUGGGGAGAAAACAGGAUUAGAUACCCCCGUAGUCCCUGUCUCUUAUAC
rnacentral:rRNA from 1 species